UGGCAAGCACGCACGGCUGCGGCUGUAAACAACAACAAAACCUCGCACUGGAACGCACGCACUCUGUACUGAAUAAGUGCUCUAUUUUUUGGGUUUUUUUGGCACCAUGGAACGAGAAACGUUAGAAAGCACUGUGUACGAGAUAACGAGAGGGGCAAAAACUGGACACAAAGCAGA